rnacentral:rRNA from 1 species
CAGCCGCCGCGGGAAUACAUAGGGUGCAAGCGUUAAUCGGAAUUACUGGGCGUAAAGCGUGCGCAGGCGGUUCUAUAAGACAGAUGUGAAAUCCCCGGGCUCAACCUGGGAACUGCAUUUGUGACUGUAGAGCUGGAGUGCGGCAGAGGGGGAUGGAAUUCCGCGUGUAGCAGUGAAAUGCGUAGAUAUGCGGAGGAACACCGAUGGCGAAGGCAAUCCCCUGGGCCUGCACUGACGCUCAUGCACGAAAGCGUGGGGAGCGAACAGGAUUAGAUACCCGCGUAGUCCCUGUCUCUUAUAC